GUUUAAUGUAGGUUUAACCGUAAAAAAUUUUGAUAUAUAUAUAUCAGGAGGUUCAAGGUUCAAUUCAUCUCUUCAUCAAUUUUUUUUAACUAAGUUAAGAGUUGAUCUGAUUUAAAUCAAAUCAGUUAUUUUUUUAUUAAAUCAAUUACAUUGAACCGAUUCGAUUUUAAUAACCAAACUUGAAAACAAAAUCACUUUAAUUAAUGUUGCUCCAUAAUCAAUGUUGCUUUAAACCAAUAAAAAGUAUCAUCACUUUCAUACUAAAGGUUAUUAUUGUCAUUAUACUAUAGCAUUUAGUUACUAAAUAUUAAUAAAUAUAAUUAGAAGAUGGAAAAUGCAAAUAUAUCCCUCUUGAUCCGAAUCAAUCCGAAUACCAUUAAUUCAACUCAAUUCAACUAAACUUUUGUUUCAAAAAUUUGGGGUCGACUAUAUGAAUUCUCUAUUUUAAAUAAUUUUGGAUUAAAUCCUCGAAUAUAUGUAAUACUUUUAAUUAAUAUUGUACUACUCCUCUACAAGUUAAUUUAGAUCUACCACUUUUCUUAGAUUAUUAAAAAUAUAUUUCUAAUUCAUAGUUAAUUUUUGAUUUCAAAUUAUUAUUUUUUUUAAAUUAUGAGAUUUGAAGAAUCUUAAUAAAUUUUAAAGGUAGACGAAAAGGGUGAGAACCCAGCAUGGGAAGCCCUCGACUACAAGAUAAAAAAGGAUAAGAAUCCUGUCCAAGUUCCAAAUGAGAGACCUCUUCAGGAAGGAAUAAUAGAAAAUAUGAUUGAAACUGACUCAACCCUGGUCCACAACCUCGCCCAGAAAGGCCUGAAAGUUACAAAAGAUCCUGGACACAACCUCUACAAAAUCAAAUGUGAUGUUGUCAUCGUUGGCUCUGGCUGUGGUGGAGGUGUUGCUGCCGCUACGCUUGCAACUUCCGGCCAAAAGGUGGUUGUUCUUGAGAAAGGGAACUAUUUCACUGCCAAUGAUUAUUCUGGUCUGGAAGGCCCUUCUUACGAACAGCUAUAUGAAUCAGGAGGAAUCCUUCCAACUGUUGAUGGGAAAAUGAUGAUAUUGGCAGGAUCAGUAGUUGGAGGAGGUUCUGCCAUUAACUGGUCUGCAUGUAUCAAAACACCAAAGCCUGUACUUAAGGAAUGGACAGAGAAUCAGAAACUUCAGCUUUUUGGAAGCUCUGAAUAUCUUGCUGCCAUGGAUACUGUCUGUAAGAGAAUUGGAGUUACAGAUAACUGUGUAGAGGAGGGAUUUCAAAAUCAAGUACUUAGAAAAGGGUGUCAGAAACUUGGCCUUGAAAUCAAUGCAGUCCCUCGAAAUUCCUCAGAGAAGCAUUACUGUGGAAGCUGUGGUUACGGUUGUCAACAAGGAGACAAGAAGGGGACUGAUUCUACAUGGCUGGUUGAUGCUGUUAAUCAUAGUGCAGUAAUCUUAACAGGAUGCAAGGCAGAGAGAUUCAUUUUGGAAGAUAAUAAGAGUGGAAGUAAAAAGAAAAAGAAAUGCUUGGGAGUGAUGGCAAAAUCAUUGAACAAUAACAUUCCUAUGAGGUUGCAAAUUGAGGCCAAAGUAACAAUCUCAGCAUGUGGAUCUCUUCUAACAGCCCCUUUAAUGAUCACUAGUGGAUUGAAGAAUCCAAACAUCGGUCGGAACCUUCGUCUCCACCCAGUUCUAAUGGCCUGGGGUUACUUUCCUGAUUCAAAUUCAGAGUUCAAGGGGAAAUCCUAUGAGGGAGGAAUAGUGACAUCAGUUCACCACGUGGUAUCAGAAGACUCUAAUUUGAGGGCCAUUAUAGAAACUCCUCAACUGGGGCCGGCAUCUUUUGCUUCAAUGACUCCUUGGGAGUGUGGACUUGACAUAAAGAAUAGAAUGGUUAGAUACUCCAGAACUGCUCACUUGAUGACAAUAAUCAGGGAUCGGGGUUCUGGCCAAGUUAAGGUGGAAGGAAGAGUAAGCUAUAACUUAGAUGCAUUGGACAGAGAAAAUCUCAAGGCUGGCCUCCGGCAAUCACUGAGGAUUUUAGUAGCUGCAGGAGCUGUCGAAGUGGGUACGCACCGAAGUGAUGGGCAGAGAAUCAAAUGUGAAGGGAUUAGUGACACGAAGCUUGAAGAAUUUUUAGACACAGUUUCUCCAUGUGGAGGAGCAAUAACACCAGUGCAGGACUGGAUGAUCUAUUCCUCCGCCCAUCAAAUGGGGAGCUGCAGGAUGGGGAUUACUGAAAAUGAAGGCGCAGUUGAUGAGAAUGGAGAGAGUUGGGAGGCAGAAGGCCUAUUUGUCUGUGACGCUAGUGUUCUUCCCAGUGCUGUUGGUGUCAACCCCAUGAUCACUGUCCAGUCCACUGCUUACUGUCUCUCUAAGAGAUUGGCAAAGUCUUUAAGGAGAGAACAGUAUGGAUUUUAGUGAAUCCUACUAAUUUGAUUCUCACAAACACAUUAGCUGAAAAGAGGCAGAACUCAUAAGCUUGACUUGAGGGGACUGGAAUGCGAUAUUGUGUCAACUUGGAUGACGUUUUCUCUAUUCUAAGCUUCUUAAGAUGCCCAAUUCUGAUGUUGUCUUCAAGAUGCCUGUGCAUUUGACGCCCCGUUCCCCACCCUACCCCACCCCACCCUGCCCUGAAGAAGUCAAAGAAAAUUCUCCAUAUCUAUUGGAGAAGUCAUUAGUGUACUUUGUACUAGUUAUCAAUGCAGAGCAUUUCUUGUUUCAUAUCAUAUAAUUAAACAGAGAUAAUAAAACACAGAAAUCAAAUAAAUUAAUCAAGAAACUUACAGGACAGAAUAGCGACAGGGCAGAUAUCAAAUAAAGAGGAAAGUACUCAAUCCAUAAAACCUUGUUUAACUUUGCUUUGUGCUUCAGUAAUGAGAAGCUGAAGAUCAAAACGAAAAGGUUUUGGACUUAGUGUGACUUAUAAGUGUAAAAUUAGGCUGAAGCUAGUUGAGGUUUGCUGAGAUAUGCAAUGGUAUUGACAGAUAAAAAAUUUGAUUAUU
rnacentral:misc_RNA from 1 species